rnacentral:rRNA from 1 species
AGGGAUUACCGGUGGCGGAUGGGCAUGCGGCGCAUUAGCUAGUCGGCGGGGUAACGGCCCACCGAGGCGACGAUGCGUAGGGGUUCUGAGAGGAAGGUCCCCCCCACUGGUACUGAGACACGGACCAGACUCCUACGGGAGGCAGCAGUGAGGAAUAUUGGUCAAUGGGCGCGAGCCUGAACCAGCCAAGUCGCGUGAGGGAUGACGGUCCUACGGAUUGUAAACCUCUUUUGCCGGGGAGCAAGCGUGCGUUCGUGAACGCGCGUCGAGAGUACCCGGAGAAAAAGCAUCGGCUAACUCCGUGCCAGCAGCCGCGGUAAUACGGAGGAUGCGAGCGUUAUCCGGAUUUAUUGGGUUUAAAGGGUGCGUAGGCGGGAUGCCAAGUCAGCGGUAAAAAUGCGGUGCUCAACGCCGUCGAGCCGUUGAAACUGGCGUUCUUGAGUGGGCGAGAAGUAUGCGGAAUGCGUGGUGUAGCGGUGAAAUGCAUAGAUAUCACGCAGAACUCCGAUUGCGAAGGCAGCAUACCGGCGCCCUACUGACGCUGAGGCACGAAAGCGUGGGUAUCGAACAGGAUUAGAUACCCUGGUAGUCCACGCAGUAAACGAUGAAUGCUAACUGUCCGGCUCGAAUGAGCGCUGG